GGAUCCAGACUUUGAUUAUGGCUCAGAACGAACGCUGGCGGCAGGCCUAACAUAUGCAAGUCGAGCGGUAACAUUUCUAGCNUGCUAGAAGAUGACGAGCGGCGGACGGGUGAGUAACGCGUAGGAAUCUACCCAGUAGUGGGGGACAACAGUUGGAAACGACUGCUAAUACCGCAUACGCCCUACGGGGGAAAGGGGGCUUCGGCUCUCGCUAUUGGAUGAGCCUGCGUGAGAUUAGCUAGUUGGUAAGGUAAUGGCUUACCAAGGCAACGAUCUCUAGCUGGUUUGAGAGGAUGAUCAGCCACACUGGGACUGAGACACGGCCCAGACUCCUACGGGAGGCAGCAGUGGGGAAUAUUGCACAAUGGGCGCAAGCCUGAUGCAGCCAUGCCGCGUGUGUGAAGAAGGCCUUCGGGUUGUAAAGCACUUUCAGCAGUGAGGAAAGGUCAGUAGUUAAUACCUGCUGGCUGUGACGUUAACUGCAGAAGAAGCACCGGCUAACUCCGUGCCAGCAGCCGCGG
rnacentral:rRNA from 1 species